CCUCCCCUGGCUUUUCCCUUCUUCACGAAGCCAUCUCUUCUCCUUCCACACGCCUUUUCUUUCUCUCCCAAAAAAUAGCAUCACACAAGCCAGGGUUGCCGCCGCCGCGCGCAUCCCAGCUCCUCCAGUGCCCGCUACCGGAGAAGGCGCCCUCCUCUCCCUCAGCGGCUGCCACUCUGGCUGCGGUGGCGCAGGCACAUGGACCGGGCCCGGCCCAGCCGCAGCAGCGCAGGGGGAGAAAGCAAACCUGCCGCCGAACGGGGUGCUGAUGGUCGACCUGCUGGGGGAGCCGGGAACGCGCUGGGGGCUCGGGACCUGUCUCACACAGGUGCUGCUCGCGGCAGCUGCCAUGGCCUCCACCGUCCGGGGCUGCGGAUGUACGAUGUGGACAAACAAAUACAUUGUCCGGCUGGAGGUGGAUUCUGAAGCAGCACUCCUACUUCAAGGAUGAGUCUAUGGAAUUCGCCCACAGUUCAUAUGGAUCUGUCAUAAGUACAAGCAUGUUGCACAAGGCUUCUUGAUAAAUGUCAAACUUGAAGGUGUAUAUUGGGUAUGCUACUAAUUAUUAUGGGCAUGGGCACGGCUGGUGGACUGGCCGGCGGCCGGGUGGACAACGGUGGCUGCCCAAUGACCAUCAUCAGGAGGAAGAAACAUUAUUUAGCUUCCGGAUCUUCGUUUCGAAUGGCUCGAUGUGGCCUUGGUGACGGCCCUGCUAGAUAGUUCAUCGAUGGCAGAGACAAGCAGUCCCAAGGCAUAGGUUUCGCUAAAUUUGAAUUUUCAGUUUUGUCUACAUUGAGUUGUUUGUUGUUUGAAUAUUUUAUCAAGUAGAACCUGGCUUCUCAUGGACCUCCCGGUAUUUGCCUAAACAAUGGAAUACUACAUCAAGAAGAACGAUCGGGUAGAGCUUAUCGCAAUACUUGGACUAUUUGGACUGCUUGUCAGUACAAUUCAGAUGUAUCCUCUACACAGUUCAUUAUUAAUAGCAGACCCACAGAGGAAAAUUGUCAUAAUUCAUUGAUAUUGUCAUCUAUAGAUUUGAUCUUGUUAUUGCGUAGUUAAAAUAUCACUACCUUUUCUCUGGAACAAAAAUUUCUUGACAGUACUCUCCUGGAGAAAAUAUUCAUGUGACCACCUAACCUUACAAAAUAUCAGAUUUUCUACAAAUGGUACAUGUAAGUUAUUGCAAGAGCAUUAUCCAGCGGAACCUUUUUAUAUCUAGAUUUAGUACAAAGUACAAAUAAGAGCGUAGUUACAAUCAUCCAUGAAGACCAAUCUCAUAUCUGCAUUUAGUACUAACAAAAGUUUGGUUAACACAUAAAGCUCCCUAAAACAGGGGAUAAAAGAUUAAGGUGUCUUACUAUUGGAGAUGUCAUGAGAAUACAGAGUUCGUGCCACCUGCCUUCUGAAAAUGAUGUGCUAUGUACAUAUAAGCUACCUAUAUAGGUCCAGUUUGGACUGUAUUCGUGUAGACCGAUCAGAUUUCCAGUCUAUUGCUUUGUUGUGUUGUAUAGCAUUGCCAUGUUUAAUUCCAGAGAUUAUCCUGUGUGGACAUCAUAUGCUAAUAUAUACAUCAUGUCAUGAUUAUUCUAUAGUAUCAUCAUUAUGAAAAAAAUAAUUUGUCCCACUGUUAAAUUUGAUACACCUGUACAUGAUGUCAUAUUUAUCUUUUGGUGCUGGUCUUGACAAAAUUUAAUUUGUUCCACUCUUAAAUUUGAUACACCAGUCUUCCAAAUUAUCCAUUAAAUCAUUUGUUAGCAGGGCCAAAUUAUAGAAGCUGAACCAGUUGUUCCAAAUUAUCCAGUUCAAAUGCUAUACAACACAGCGAAGCUGUUCCAAUCUUAGAAGCUUCUACAGAGUAUUUGUUUUUUGUACUACUUGGUUGACGAAAUGAUUUCCUUAUAAGCUGGGAUAAGGCGUUUGUAGUUGGUAUUUAUACACAAGCUCAAUAAUUUUCAGGCUCAUCUCAUCUCACGUUAUUUUUCGGUUUGUUGUAUGCUCACCGGCGUUCUGUUUCGAGAUAUUGAUUGGGUGUUGGGUAUGGGUGUUUGCAGGUGGGGCCUGCGUUAUUCCCGGCUCUGAUGUCAGUGGACAUGCACCGUUCUUGUGUGGAUUUGAGUGUCGUGGCAUGUGGUGGCUCUUUGUCAGAUGCAUCAACGGCUGGUGUUGUCAUCAGGUAUGGAUUGCACCCAGGCAAUAGCGGCAUGCCUCCAUUCAGGAGUUUGGGUGCCUCUGUUUGGGUUGUGCCUUCCUUUCCUUUUUCUUUUGGUCCUCUUUUUUCCUUAUUGUGGUCUGUUCAUUGAUUCAGUGUUGUUCUUCACAAAGAAAAGGCCCACUGCCCAGAUCCUUUGGCAUUUGAAAUGAGUUUGAUAGUUAGAAGAGAUUCUUUGGUUGCAGUAGUUUGAUCUUUGCUUUGCGAUUAGGAGCAGAGCAGCGUCACCAUUAUUGACAUCGUAUUUAAGUGGAUGGCUGAAAUAGAUUUGGAAGUAAUUGUAUAUGUGUUGUCAACAUGGUAUCAUAUCACUUUGUGGAAUGGUAUGGAGGAGGUCGCCAUCACAACCGGCGAAGAGGAUGCAUACGUCCUCCUUGAUAUCGAGGUUGUACUACCGUCAAAAUGCUCAAUCCCAUGGAGACUGCCAAAUUCCGCCUCAUCGUGAAACAGGCCAAGGCCCUCAAGAUCUGCAACAAUCAUCUCCUUCACACCAAGAAACGCCAGCCUGCAGCUACAUGGUUUGGUCGUGCCGUUAACUGCCUAUCUUGACGACAUUGACGCUGAAUUUAUCGACCCUCCAAAGAAUGAGAUGUUAGAUGUCGCAGAACUCGUCGGUGAUGUUAUCGAGCAUUCACGGAAACCAAAUGUCAUAGUUUCUACCAAUGUGCGUGAACUAUUGGAAUGCCCUGUGUGUUUGGUUCACAUGUAUCCUCCAAUUCAGCAGAUUGCAGCACUCUCCUAUGUUGGAAGAUGGUACAAGAAAUGUGCAUGCCGCACUAAGCUAUUUGCAUGAAGCACUAUUAUUAGUACUUACAGAAGCUGCUAACUAGAAGGGUGUCCACCUCCUGUGAUGGAUAUUUUCGCUGUAGAACUUAUCCUAACUGGAUGUUAGAAUAUACUCCCUCCGUCCAGAAAUACUUGUCAGAGAAAUGGAUGCAUCUAGACGUAUUAUAGUCUGGAAAUAUUUGUCGGACAAAUGGAUUUUCAUCCUUAUGCUAACUAGAUGUUAGAAUAUAUAUCAUCCAUGUAAGAAUCUAUAAUUUUCAUUUUGUGCAGCUAUUCUUAACUGUUAAUUUGAUUUUUAGAAUUUACAUGUUGA